GGAGAUUCAUCGUCAAAGUAUUCAGUAUUAGUGCAAGUUAUGAUAUGGCAAUAAUCCUUGUGGUUAUUAUGUCGCACAUGCUUGCAUUAUUUUACUGAAUUCGUCGGCGUGUUUAUAUUAUUGGAGACCUUUGGUGUUCCUGAUCAGCUGUUCGACGGUACGCAAACGGUAUAGAGUCGCUUUCAUGCGUUAAAUCCGCUGCAAGUGCGGUCAAUCUUUGGCAGUGUGGACUUUGUGCCAUCGCUAAAGUUGACCAACUGUUGGUAUGCGGCAUUCUUUAACUGGCUUAAUUACCGGUCAGCGAUGCUACUGCUUUGGGUACUUUCAGGACCCGUCUUGAAACACGGACCAAGGAGUCUAACAUGUGCGCGAGUCAUUGGGAUUUUUUAAAACAAACCUAAAGGCACAAUGAAAGUAAAGAUUGUCUUUUGACAGUUGAGGGAAGAUGAGUUACGUCACGAUGUAAUUCCGCAUUCCCGGGGCA
rnacentral:rRNA from 1 species